AUGGCUUCAGGGUGGCCGAGUUCGUCGCGACCAUCAGUUCAGAGACCUGCGUCACUGCGCGUGUCUCUACCAUGGCCCCCUGUGUCACUACGUGCUUCGUCAACAAGCCUCCUGCACAUGGAAAAGCAACAGGAGUCUGAGAUGUUGUGUUCUAGUGAGGUGGCUGAUUAUGUUUGUCAGUUUGUAAUACUUUGGCCGCAGUGUACUUAUGUAUCUUUUUCUGGCCGGAGUACGACCAGAGCUUAUGUCAGUAUGAACUUUGAUUGUGAUGGUAAUACAAACUCUAUAGGGUACUUACCUUUUAUACAAUUCACAUGGAUUGUGCCCCUAUUACCAACUGUGGUACAAAAAUGCACUGUGCUCACCAUUUUAUUUUAG
rnacentral:rRNA from 1 species